CCGGUGCCGCCUACCGGCUUCGGGCUCUGGGCGCGUCACCUCGCGUAGGAACUCAGUGCCCUAGGCUGGGAGUGGACGCUGUCCUUCUGUGAAGGCUCCAAGGCCGCGCUGCAGGAAGGCGGGGCGGACGGAGCCGUCACCCACGGCGGAGUCCGAGAAAAGGCUAGCGGCAGAGGAUGGAAAGGUUUUGGUCAGUCGCUUGUAUGUAAACCUCGUGUAGUUACUGUCUUAUGGGGGACGUGACCAUGCUGCAACCCAGGCGGGUUCGGGGGUAGUGAGCUCGGGGAUCUGACCGGGGACAAUCGCGGCGCGCUCGGCGGGUCCUGUGCCCCGACUGCGCGCCCGGGUCUCCGGCUGCAAGCGGGCCCUUCUCGAUUUCAGCGCUGGAUGGCGCUAGCAUGCCACGGGAAGGUGCCGCCUUCUUUCAGCAUUUAGGAGGCGGCUUGGAGAGGCGGAGAACCCUGCCCAAAUAAAUCCAUUUCCCCAGGGCCCGUCAAGGUUGUGGUUCAGCCAACCUUGCCAGCACUACUUCAUGCUGUGUCCUUGAUUGCAGCCGGCAUCAGGGUGUCCAGUCAUUCUCACUAAGGGCUGUAUGGUCUGGCUCCCUGCUGUUACCCUCCCUCCCCUAACCCGAUUUCAGACUCCGGAAACUGCGCGCAUUUGUAAGUCUGUGUCUUUCUGCCCUUGUCAUAUUAUUCCUUCUUAUGAUACAUUUUCUUUCACCCCCGCGGGGGAGAACCAUUCUAUCAUUCUGGUUCCAUUUCCAGUAUGAGGUCCCAGGCCUCUCCCCAGAGAACACAUUCCUCUUUGUUUCCAAGGCACUUUCAACAGGCUGAUGAUAACCAUAAGUCCACUGUUUUGGGUUUAUUCAAAUUUCACACUGCAUUAAAGUGCAUAGAUAAGGCCAAGCAUUGUGGUGCACGCCUGUAAUCCCAGCACUUGGUGGAGGGGGUGGGGGAUGAGGCAGGAGGAUUGCCACAUAUUCAAGGACAGCCUGGGCAACAUAGUGAGUUCAAGGCCAGCCUGAACUACACAGCAAGACCAUGGGGGGGGGGGGGGUGUUAGGAACACAUCCAUUAAAAAAAAUAAUGUUUGUAUUAUUGAACUUGGGACAGCAGAGGAAUAUGCCAGAGAACCUUUGGGCUCCUCAAAGGGUAAGCAUCACUAAAGAGCCCUCAGGGGUGGGAGCUGGAGUUGUAUUCUUCACAGGGGAGGCAGGUGGAUGGGAGGCCAGUGGUCUUGUCUGGAACACAGGGGCCCAUGGGAGCUCCUGGAAGAUGAGCCCACAGCCGCCUCUAGGAGCACAGGGAACCGAUGAGGUGGUGUUGGGAUGGUCCCAACUUACAGCACAAGUGUUGCACAGCAUGGGUUAGAAUUUUCAUUUACACGUCAUGGUGAGAUGCAUUUUGUCUUAUCUUCAACACUCCAACCUCCCACCUCACCCUUCAGCCCCAUUGCCAACCAAAUCAAUUUCACUUUCUCUUCAUGCCAGCAGUGGCCAGGGUUAUGGGAACACUGAUUGGCCUGAUCAGAUUUCCUAAUGUCAGGGCUGUUAAGCAAAAGUUUGAGGAAGGGGAGGGAAUGUAUCCUUUCUACUAGGAAACAGCACCAUGCCCACAUAGGAGCUCCAAAGCCUGUCUCGUGAAGGAGUGGCUUGUGGGAAUGACUUCCAGGAACUAAAGCUCUUCAGAGGUCAGGCCUUCGUCUCCAGGUCACUGGGUUUGUGUCCUCAAAGGGGACAGCGAGAUUCCAACCCUUCCUCUUCCUCAUUGCCCUGUCAGGAAGUGAUGGUUUGCUCCAUUAAACAUACCCCACCAGGAAACACUGCCAUCAAAUCCUGAAGCCAACUGACCAUGAUGGAAAUAACUAUUCCCUGUAUAAAUUGAUUAUCUUGGGUAUUUGUUACAGUGACAAAAAGCUGGCUAACACCGUGCCAAUUACAGGUGUCUCAAGUCAUCACCAACAUCUAGGAACAGAGCAGCCCUUGCGGGAGGCCCUCUGGGCUGGUUCUCACCCUAAGACUAAAGAUGAGGCCCCAACCUACAUGACCAGUGCUGAUCUGACACCUAGGACUCUGCAUGUGGGAAAAGCAGCCCCUGAUGCUGGGCGCACAACCAAUGGAAGCCAGCGUCAGGAGCAAGGCCAUUUCUAGUCCAGGGCUAUGGCCCCAACAUGUGCUCUUUCAUGUUCUUGCACAGAUGUCCCCUGGAAACCUGCAGGCAGCUAGGGAGAGCUCAGGCAGGAGGCAGCAAGCAGUCUAGCUUGACAGCUUUUUGACUAACUUACAAUGAAACAGAAAUAAGGAUUGUGUGGCACAUGAAUGGAGGCCCAGCGCUGUCCCCAGGGCCCAGCCCAUUGAAACAGUCCAAAGUUUGGACCAGCCCAUGGCAUCCUGGGAUUCUCAGACAGGCAAGUGCUGUUCUGGAGACCAGGAGCCUGGAACAGCCCCUGGGAGCAUCACUGUGCCAUAGGUGACAGUGCUCCAUGGACCCAUCCCAGGUGAGGGAUCCCAAGUCUCAGCUUGCAAGUAGCAACUAGCACACACCUAGUACACAGCCAGCCAUGGGAAGGAAUCGAGUUCAUCUUUAUCAGUAUCUUCAUCACAGCUGGGUACAGCCAGGCCCUGUACCAUGUCCAAGAUUCUUUCCGCACCACUUUAUUUCAGAUGCUGUGGGAUUCUGGCAUCCUCAGGAGCUGUGUCUCCUUCUGAAUGUGAGGACAGAGCCUGGUCACUAUGUCCUGUUCCAUCCUGAGCCUGAUGUGGUGUCACCAUGUCUGCUGUGCUGGCCUGCUGACCACCCCAAUGUCUCUGAUGCCUUUGCUGCAGCUGCCUGCCCUUGUCCCUACAUCUCAGAGCCACCAGCUUGGUCCCUGUCAGGACAUUGGAACUAGAAUAAAAAAAUCAACAGCAACAAAGAGUCCUGAGGGACUCAGCCAUGUGGCUGUUCUGGGACAGUCCACCCUGUGACAGCUCUGUCCUGCUCCUCACUAAAGGUGUCUUGGCUUCUCAGGAGCUCUGUCAGUGUCACAUGGCCAGACCUGAGCCUGUCCCCAAAGCCAGGAACUGAGACAGUAAACAACCUGCCCUUGCAGUCUGGAUGGAGACACUGAUGAAGCAAGGGGAGGCCAGCAUCCACGGAAGCCAAGACCCUUGCCAGCAGAAGGCUGAGCAAGACAGCCACCUGGGGGGACCCCAGCCUGUGAGGUGUGUGGCCUGGCUGCUGCCAGUGAGCUGCCACCACCUGUUCCAUCUCUCACAUGAAUGCUGGGGAACCCACACCCCACCUCUAUGUUCAUCCAGUUCAUGGCCCAAGGGGUCAAGGGGAUGCCCCUGGGAACAGGCCUCCCGGCUCCUGCCCACCCAGCUGGGGCAGGACUCCUGGCUCCAGUUCAAUGGCCUUUUACUCUAGGGACCCACACGGGGACACCAGGCCGACCACUAUGGUGAUGAAUGUCCAUGCUGUGCUGUCCAGCUGGUGGCCAUGGCCACUGUGGCUACUGGACAUCAGCCAUGAGGCUACUGUGACUGAGGGCCUGAAUUCCUAUGCAGCAGAGCUUGUGGCCUGAGUGCUUGACAAGGUGUCAAGGAAGACAUAGUUGCCAGUGUGCAUGCUCAGUGAGAGUCUUUCAGCACUACCCUGAGGACAGACCUGCCAGCCUUCUGGUGCUGUGCUCUGGAUGAGCACAGUGGAAAGAAUGGCCAGGGAUGAAAGUGCAGCUUGGGGUGGGCACCUGCCCAGCACAGGCCAGGCCUAGGUUCAGUGCCCAGCACCAGAGGAGGAAACACCAGCAUCCAUCGAAGCACAAGCCUGGACGGAGCACGAACAAAGUAAAACUUUAUUUGAACCCAAGUCAUCUCACAACUGCGCCUCACCUCAUGUGGCUCAGCGUCACUAGUGGUAAUGAGCACUGCUUCUCAGGAAGGUGGCUGCUGUGGCCUCUGCCACUGUGGGGUCUUGGUACUCGCCUGAUCACUGGAGGCAGCAGCAGCCCUGGCCAGGGUCCAGCACCCAACCCCACCUCAAAAACACCUGCACAACCCCGGGUCUCCUCCUGUCCCCUACCUCACCCGUGCUCACCAGGCCUGGCUCCCGGUGAGCACUGGGCAACCUGACCCACAGCACAACAUAGCUGUGGGGCUUAAGGCACACUGAGGAGGAGCAGGGCAGAGAGUGCAUUCUGCCUUCAGACCCAGAGCCCGCUCAGGCCGCACUGCCCUGAGCUGCAUCUGAGUUUUCCUGAGGCAUCACGUGGAGAGUAAUCCUGCCAGGCCACAGCUUGGAGGAACAAAUCCACCUGAAGCAGCUUUGGAGCCGGGGAGUCAGGGCUUGCCUGUUCUGAGGCAUAUUCAUGGGACAUGGGCUCAGGUUACCAGGACAGGAGCCAAGCAGAGGCACGGACCUCUGAACAGAUGUCCAGACUGGCUAACACGAGUUAGAGAGCACACCCUUCCCACUAAUGGAGGUUUUGGAGACCUCCCUGACUCUGCUGCAGUGUGUGAGUGAAUAUCUUAGCCUCAGUAGAGUGCUCUUACAGAGCUCUCCAAAUUCAAGAAUACAGAGAGCACCACCUCUGCCUUUUGACUCUGGAAACUCCUGGAGAAGUGGGGCUGCCCCAGCUGUGGGCUUCAGAUGCUGCCGACGUCCCAGACCAGACACAGAGCCCAGGCAAGCAGCACAGAGGACACUGUGUGCGCUGCCACCUGGCGAGUCAGACUGCGGCCAGCUUCAUCCCGGGGUAUGAACUACACGGAGCGUCCGAGGGGAAGAAAUGCUGUGCCCCGGGGGCCAGGCCUGAGCUCACUGAGGUCUCAUCCUACUUGGCAGCUGCCUGCCUCUCUUUGUGCGUCUGGAAGGCAUUCAGUAUCUCCUCAACGACGCUGGGAUCCUCCAGGGUGGUGAUGUCCCCCAGGUCCUGGACUCCACCUGUGACGAUCUUCCUCAGCAGCCGCCGCAUGACUUUCCCAGAGCGGGUUUUGGGGAGACGCUUCACCACCUGGCAACACGUGUGGCAUUAGCAUGGUGGCCUGGGUGAGGGCUGCUCUCAGGCUGACUCUGAGCAAAGGUCUCUGGUUCACCCACCCAUGGCCUGAGCCAGGGCUGAGACACCCAGAACACAGGAGCCACCGAGGAGCAGAUCAGCUGCAGCCCUGCCUGGCUGUGCUACACUGGCACCUUGCUGACAUCACCAUCUGCCCGCUGGCUCCAGGGCAGCAACUCAGGCUCAUCCUGCAACCUCUCCCCAGCUGCAGCUGAGUUUCGUCUUUGGUGAAAGCUGAAGCAACUUCACAGAAGAAAAUGUGAACACAACAUGUAGCACUUUCAAGCAGCCACAGCCUAUGGGGCCCCACUCCAUGUCGGAAGAUCAGAAGCUGUUGGGGUGGGGCCCAGCACCUCAAAGACAGCCAACAGGUGGCUCUGUCUCUGGGACUCAGCGCUGGCCACCUGGCAACUCCACACACCAGGCCAGCAGUGAGAAUGGUGAGCAGCCCUGGACCCCGGGCCUGAGCAGUGCCAAGGGAGGGAGAAAGGAAGCACUGGGGCUAACGUGGCUCAGCUCUGUCCAGGGUGACAAGCCCUCCCCUGCCAGAACCAGGAAGUAUGCUCAGAGGCCACACAGCAGCUGCUUCCCAUGCCUCUCUUUAAAAGCUGCUUUAGGGGCUGGGGAUUUAGCUCAGCGGCAAGCGUGCCUGCCUUGCAAGCAUGCAGUCAUGAGUUCGAUCCCCGGUACCAACAAAAACAACAAAAAAGGUGCUUUAAUCUGAUGGAGGAGGGGGCUAACUCAGUGGUGAGCGCGUGUCUGGCACAUGCAAGGCCCUGGGCUCUGCUUGGCUACUGUGGCCUUGGGAGACCCCGAAGCCCACGUGUUGGGGAAUGAUACUGAGCCUAUGCAUCCUAGGGUAUAGCAGCCUCUUGGAGUUGGAUCCUCCCCCACCCUCACCUCUUGUCCCCAGAUGACCAAGCCCAGCAACUGCCCUGGGAGCCUCUGGCACUAGGAGCUACAGCGAGCUUUUCAGCCCUCUCAGUGGCCUCAGUUAUUUUGUCAGCACAGAGGGAAGCUAAUACAGAAAUGCAAAGGGAAAAUGAAAUCCCAAAGUCUCUUUGGCACCCAGUCUUGAGCCUGCACCUGGCAGCCACAGGCCAAAGCCUUGCCCACCCCCAGGGAGCCAAGCAGGUCACCCCUGUGUUUGUUUAUUGUUCCAUGGCACUGAGGUUGAACUGGGGCCUCGUGCUGAGCCAUGAUGACCCUGACAUUCCCUACGGCACCUUUUAAAAUCUUGAGCCAGAGCCUAAGUUGUCCAUGCUAGGCUCAAACUCUUGAUCUUCCUGCUUCAGCCUCCCAAGUAGCUGGGGUCAUAGGUGUGUACCACACCCCAGCUUUGUGCCUGUGUGAUACUGAUGGGGAGAGGGUGACGAGCUCUUUUGAGACUAUCACCACUGACACCACCGGGCUGCAGAAGCAGCUUAAGGAGAGCAGCUCACCCAGUCGUCCCGUCCACUCACCAGGAUUUGGUCAGGCACAGCAUAUUUGGCGAUCUUGGUGGCCACCACCGACUUGAGCUCAUUCACUACCAUGUCUGCGUCAUGGGCCUCGUCCUUCAACACAAUGAAGGCGAAUGCGGCUUGGGAAGAAAAGAAAGCAAGGGUUGGGGAGUGCCACAACAGCACCUGCCCAGCCAGGGUCCCAGUGCCACCUGCCAUCAUCGCAAAGGGUUUUGUCGUAAGCCAGGGUUUUGCUGUGUGGCUCACACAAUCCUCCUGCCUCAGCCUCCUACAGAGCUAGAAAGACAGGUGUGUGUUACCACACCUGGCUCCAAGGGAUCUCCAAGUCCUGUGUUGGUGACACUGGAAGCUGCUGUCUUGCUGUAGCAGUGCAUUUCUGCCAUACGCAGAGUGGCAGUGGGUCCAACAACUCGGUGGGCAUGCCAGCCAGGCAGCCACCUAUGGCUAGGAAGGAGCUUGGCACUACAGAGAUGCCAAUGGCCACUGUGACUCAGAUAAUCCCUCAGCUGUAGCAGAGCCCCCGACAGGGCUGAUGGGACACGUACAGCUUCACUGAGAAGCCCCUCCAGUUCAGAUCAACCCGAGGAUGCACCCCUUGCUGCUCCUCCCACACAUCAUAGAUGCCAAAGUGCAGCUCCGGGCCACCCCAGUCAGCACAAACACAGUCUUCACCAGCCAACGCUGGCGGCUCCGAAGAGCUGCACCUGAGGUUGUGUCUGGGACCUGACCUUCUGCCCUCCAGCUGAGUCCAGUGACAGGCAGCUGGCCACCAGCUCGUGCCCCAAGGCACAUCCCUGUCAUCACUGUGCUUCUGGGGCCCCCAUGCCAAUUCUGCCUCUUCCUCCUCUCGCUCCUCCCCACCCUCUGGGCUGUGCAGUUUCCUGCAACCUGUUUGCUGUCCUGGCCCGUCCCUUCUACUGCCUCCUCCCAACACAGUGGCCAUGAGGGCAGAGACUCUAUGUCACUCAGCUGUGUCCCCAGCAGAGACCAGGCCGGAGCACAGCACGAACCCCAUGGAUGUCUGCUGACAACCCGAAGGGGAAAUGUGCCUGCAGAGCUGGCUCUGUGUGGCCUCAGCUUCUGCCUGAAAGGCUCCCAUCUCCACUCAGCAAACUCCUACUUAUCGCCCAAGACCCAGUCCAGCCCGACCCAGUCCAGCCCAGCGACAGCUCUGCAAGCUUUCCUGGCCCUGCCCAAGUCUGACUAUGGGUGUGGCCCUGUGGGAAUGGUUGUCACCCCACCCACAGGCUAUGAGAUCUGUGAUGGAAAGAAUUUUGCUCUAUUCUCCUGGUGCUGGGGGAGAUGGUGGCCUGGAUCCUGCUCCAAAGCCAAAGAUGAAGGGAGGAGCCACAUGGCUGUGGUCAGGCAACAGGCUGAGCCAGAGGGUCAGAGACCCAGACAGUCUCAGGGACUGGACUCUGAGGGCAACCCAACCCAGGGCUCCCCUCCCACGGGACAGUGCCACUGGCAGUAGAGGUGGAAGACACUUGGCACAGACGGGCUACUGGGCCAUCCACAAAUGGAAAGUAAACAGAUGUUCAAGUACUUGAGAAACCAGAAAGUGUGUGAAAUCCAUGCCUGCUGGCAGGUGACCCAGGCCUGCUUAGGUGUGAGCUGCCCCAGCUGCUGGCAGGCGCCAGUGGCCCUAGGUGUGUACCUAGGGACUCUGCCCUUGCCCUGGGCAGCCGCCACAGUUCCUCACAUGAGGGCUAAAGUCCGCCUGCCAGGCAGCAGCCCACUGUCCUAUGCUCACUCUUGGGUUUCACUGGGGGAACAGUGGGGAUGGUGCCAGUCGAGGUCCUUGUCUGACUCCACAGCCCACUUCAGGCCCCGCACCUGAGCAGCCAGGCUGGCUCUGCCCUGAUCCACAAAGGCCCAGCCCCGACACCUGGGCCCCUGCAGCCCAGGACACAGCGGGAAACGUAGACCCUGCCAGCAUCACUUUACCAGGUGGACAACUUUUCUACCUGUCCCUGGCCUGACCACACCUGGCUGAGGCCUCUGCCGGGGCAGCACCCACAGCCCCCCCACAAAAGCCACAGCAGCCUCCCUGCCUAGCUACUCUGAAGUGCUUGCACUGAUUUUAAGUUUUACAGUGGGUUGAUUUAAAGAAAAUAUCGGAAGGGCAGAGUGGAAAGAUCUGCUAGGUAUGCACAAAGCACAAGAAUGAAAUAAAGUAGAACAUAAACAGCA